rnacentral:rRNA from 1 species
AACGCGAAGAACCUUACCUACCCUUGACAUCCAGAGAAGACUGCAGAGAUGCGGUUGUGCCGAAAGGAACUCUGAGACAGGUGCUGCAUGGCUGUCGUCAGCUCGUGUUGUGAGAUGUUGGGUUAAGUCCCGUAACGAGCGCAACCCUUAUCUUUAGUUGCCAUCAUUAAGUUGGGGACUCUAAAGAGACUGCCGGUGAUGAACCGGAGGAAGGCGGGGACGACGUCAAGUCAUCAUGGCCUUUAUGGGUAGGGCUACACACGUGCUACAAUGGACAGUACAGAGGGCGGCCAACCCGCGAGGGGGAGCCAAUCCCAGAAAGCUGUUCGUAGUCCGGAUCGGAGUCUGCAACUCGACUCCGUGAAGUCGGAAUCGCUAGUAAUCGCGAAUCAGAAUGUCGCGGUGAAUACGUUCCCGGGCCUUGUACACACCGAGACGAC